GAGCAACAGCCUGGACCUGCAGGGGGUGCUGCAGAGCUGCAGGACUCAGAGCAAGAGCCUGGACCUGCAGGGGGCGCUGCAGAGCUGCAGGAACCCACCAGACCUGUUGGAGUGGAGUUUAUUCGACCGGUUGUUGGUUACUUCUGUAACUUGUGUCAGCUGAUCUACGCUGAUGAGGACGAAGCCAAACUGCAGCACUGCAGAAGCCAGACACACUACAGGAAGUACCAGGAGAAGACGGGGAAAGAUCCGUGGACCAACACGACAUGAUAAAAAACAUACAGACUUUGAUUCUUUUAUUCUUCUGAUUUCUUGUUGUGGAACUUGUAUCAGCAUCAGUUUGAAUUAAUUUAAACAAAUGUCUGCAGCAGGAACAUCAGAUGAACACGUAGUUUUGAUUUGUUAAAGAUAGAGAAUACUACGGCAGUUUUAAAAGCUGCCGUGGAAACAUCUGGAGCCACUUAUUUCUGUUCAAAUGAAUAUUUAAGUUUUGUCACAUGAAUGUUUUAUUUUGAAAGACUGUAAAACGACUUCCUAAUAAAAGAGUUUGAACUAUUUGAGGUUUAUUUCAUAAA